UCGGUAGCAUCGAUAAGGGAGUGGGAGCAGGAGGCUAGCAGUAAAGAAUUUUGUGCAAUAUAUGAAGGUAAGACACAGAGAGGGCACCUUGCCUAGUCCGUCAAAUUAAGUGCCAGCAGACGCGGUGAAACUUAAGGGCUAGUUUUGUGGGCAAAAGCGUAAAGGGUGUGAUAGGCCGUUUUAAUUAAAAAGGGUUUUAUAAUUUAAGAAGGUAAAUGGAAUUUUUUUGUAGCGGUGGAAUGUGUAAAUAGAAAAAAGAACUUUAGACGUGAAGACUAUUUAUUUUUGAGAUUAUAGUGUGAUGGCUAAAACACGAGAGUAUGGGGAGCAAACAGGAUUAGGGACCCUGGUAGUCUAUACUGUAAAUAAUGAAAAAGAUGUGAAGCAAUCCUAAAAAGUCAGAAAUUUUCCGCUUGAGUAGUACGACCGCAAGGUUAAAAUUCAAAAAACUUGGCUGUUCACUGUUUUAAUUAGAGGAGCGUGUCGUUUAAUUCGAUAGUCCGCGAGAGACCUUACCCAAACUUGAAUCCUUCAUUGACAGGUAUUGCAUGGCCCGUCGUCAAUUUGUGUAUUAAACAUAAAACAGAUUUAACCCAGUGGUUUGUCACUUGGAUGAAGUCAGGUCUUAUUGUCCUAAUGUUUGGGGAUUAAAUGCCCUACAUUUUUUUAUACAUAGGAAACUUU
rnacentral:rRNA from 1 species